CUCUCCUAACUGACAGACGUCCCUUCUUCUACACUACGACCGGUCGAUGGAUGGAUGGGUACCUCUCCGACGUCUUCGAAGCCGGGCAGGUAGCGCCUAGGCUACCAGCGCUCUUUGCCUCUACUGUCGACUAGACCCCACGUUUUGGCUGUCAAAGUGCUAGAGGUCCGUCUCUAGUGGAGUUCAGAGUUCCACUCAUUACAUAAGUACCUCGUCGUCGGUCCCCAUCACGAGGUGGUACGUCCUGUCGACUAUAGAAACUGGAUCCGUUUCGAGGUAGUUUCCUGCACAUUUGAUUACCCACUCUUUGGAUAGAUACGAUGGCGAGGGUUCAGGUCUGCCUGUGUGCGCAAACCAUUAAUCAUCGUGAUCGUAGGAAUAAUGUCGGUACACUAACGCUACUAGAACAAAAUAAAUGACAACUGUCGUCCUCCACCCACCACGUAGACGUCACACCUAGUAGAUGGCUACACGUAAUACCCUGAUUAUAAUUGUGAGUAAACAUACAUCUCUUUUUACCGAGUUCUAGUCUUGUUGGUAAAAAGGAAUCGUCUCGUCGUCAACUUAACUCAUGCACACAGCGCCCUUCUUUACCAGUAGCACCUACGUUACUUGUGGUCGACUAACUAGUUAUUAAGACUUUUACCGAAGCUCGAGUACGUACGUGCCGGCUACCCGACGUGCAGCCGCGACGAAACGGACUGAGGUACCUGUACGUAACGUUGUUGCUGACUACGAGACGAGCACGCUUUGCACCGUCCUUGCUUCCAAGGACACUGACUCUUACGUCCGAGUGACAGUACACGCGUACGCAACUGGAGGAACGGACGGUUGGGUCACCUGUCACAAUAAAACUUAAGUUCUCUUACCUCGGCAAUCCGGUGUCUAGGACGACGGGGCGGGGUGGCAACCACUCUCAUCCACUCCCACCUUUCACCUCCACCUAUUAGUCUUUAUAGGUUACAAAAAUAACCUCUUUUACGGGAUAAUCAUAGACUUUAUUAUAUACAACGUUCAACUAAUAAAACACAGUGUAUCGAUAACUGAACACAAGAAAUUGAUUAUAAAGCGGUAAUAACCAUAGGCAAGACUUAGCUAAUUUUUAGGCUAUACAUUAAUACAUAUGUACGAGCUCAUUGUAAGCUA
rnacentral:rRNA from 1 species